rnacentral:rRNA from 1 species
UAGGGAGGAGCUUGCNUCACAUUAGUUAGUUGGUGGGGUAAAGGCCUACCAAGACUAUGAUGUGUAGCCGGGCUGAGAGGUUGAACGGCCACAUUGGGACUGAGACACGGCCCAAACUCCUACGGGAGGCAGCAGUAGGGAAUUUUCGGCAAUGGAGGAAACUCUGACCGAGCAACGCCGCGUGAACGAUGAAGUAUUUCGGUACGUAAAGUUCUUUUAUUAGGGAAGAAUAAAUGAUGGAAAAAUCAUUCUGACGGUACCUAAUGAAUAAGCCCCGGCUAACUAUGUGCCAGCAGCCGCGGUAAUACAUAGGGGGCAAGCGUUAUCCGGAAUUAUUGGGCGUAAAGGGUGCGUAGGCGGUUAAAUAAGUUUAUGGUCUAAGUGCAAUGCUCAACAUUGUGAUGCUAUAAAAACUGUUUAGCUAGAGUAAGAUAGAGGCAAGUGGAAUUCCAUGUGUAGUGGUAAAAUGCGUAAAUAUAUGGAGGAACACCAGUAGCGAAGGCGGCUUGCUGGGUCUUUACUGACGCUGAGGCACGAAAGCGUGGGGAGCAAACAGGAUUAGAUACCCUGGUAGUCCACGCCGUAAACGAUGAGUACUAAACGUUGGGUAAAACCAGUGUUGAAGUUAACACAUUAAGUACUCCGCCUGAGUAGUACGUACGCAAGUAUGAAACUUAAAGGAAUUGACGGGACUCCGCACAAGCGGUGGAUCAUGUUGUUUAAUUCGAAGGUACCCGAAAAACCUCACCAGGUCUUGACAUGCUUCUGCAAAACUGUAGAAACACAGUGGANGUUAUCAGUUGCACAGGUGGUGCAUGGUUGUCGUCAGCUCGUGUCGUGAGAUGUUGGGUUAAGUCCCGCAACGAGCGCAACCCUUAUUGUUAGUUACCAGCACGUAAUGGUGGGGACUUUAGCAAGACUGCCAGUGA